UACGUAGGUGACAAGCGUUGUCCGGAUUUACUGGGCGUAAAGAGCGCGCAGGCGGUCGAUCAAGUCGAGUGUGAAAGCCCCCGGCUCAACUGGGGAGGGUCAUUCGAUACUGAUCGACUCGAAGGCAGGAGAGGGUAGUGGAAUUCCCGGUGUAGUGGUGAAAUGCGUAGAUAUCGGGAGGAACACCCAGUGGCGAAGGCGACUACCUGGCCUGUUCUUGACGCUGAGGCGCGAAAGCUAGGGGAGCAAAGCGGGG
rnacentral:rRNA from 1 species